rnacentral:rRNA from 1 species
CGCAACGCCGCGUGGGGGAUGAAGGUUCUCGGACUUGUAAACCCCUUUCGACCGGAACGAAUCUCCUCUUGGUGAACAAUCGAGGAGGAUCGACGGUACCGGGAGAAGAAGCCACGGCUAACUCUGUGCCAGCAGCCGCGGUAAGACAGAGGUGGCGAGCGUUGUUCGGAUUUAUUGGGCGUAAAGCGUACGCAGGCGGUUUGGUAAGUCAGAGGUGAAAGACCACAGCUUAACUGUGGCACUGCCUUUGAUACUGCCUUUCUAGAGUGCAUGAGGGGGAAGCGGAAUUCCGAGUGUAGAGGUGAAAUUCGUAGAUAUUCGGAGGAACACCGGUGGCGAAGGCGGCUUCCUGGCAUGUAACUGACGCUCAUGUACGAAAGCGUGGGUAGCAAACAGGAUUAGAUACCCUGGCAGUCCACGCCCUAAACGAUGGGCACUAGGUGUGGGAGGUAUCGACCCCUUCCGUGCCGCAGCUAACGCAUUAAGUGCCCCGCCUGGGGAGUACGGCCGCAAGGUUG